GACGGAGGAUGCAAGCGUUAUCCGGAAUGAUUGGGCGUAAAGCGUCCGCAGGUGGCAGUUCAAGUCUGCUGUCAAAGACCGGGGCUUAACUUCGGAAAGGCAGUGGAAACUGAACAGCUAGAGUAUGGUAGGGGCAGAGGGAAUUCCUGGUGUAGCGGUGAAAUGCGUAGAUAUCGGGAGGAACACCUGUGGCGAAGGCGGCCCCCUGGUUGGAUACUGACGCUGAUACGCGAAAGCGUGGGGAGCAAACAGG
rnacentral:rRNA from 1 species